rnacentral:rRNA from 1 species
UACGUAGGGUGCGAGCGUUGUCCGGAAUUAUUGGGCGUAAAGGGCGCGUAGGCGGCGCGGUAAGCGUGCGGUGAAAGCCCGGGGCUCAACCCCGGGUCGGCCGUGCGGACUGCCGGGCUGGAGCACUGUAGAGGCAGGUGGAAUUCCGGGUGUAGCGGUGGAAUGCGUAGAGAUCCGGAAGAACACCGGUGGCGAAGGCGGCCUGCUGGGCAGUAGCUGACGCUGAAGCGCGACAGCGUGGGGAGCAAACAGG